UACGAAGGGGGCUAGCGUUGCUCGGAAUCACUGGGCGUAAAGGGUGUGUAGGCGGUUCUUUAAGUUUGGUGUGAAAUCUCCCGGCUCAACCGGGAGGGUGCGCCGAAUACUGAGGGACUCGAGUGCGGGAGAGGAAAGUGGAAUUCCUGGUGUAGCGGUGAAAUGCGUAGAUAUCAGGAGGAACACCGGUGGUGUAGACGGCUUUCUGGACCGUAACUGACGCUGAGACACGAAAGCGUGGGGAGCGAACAGG
rnacentral:rRNA from 1 species